UACAGAGGGAGCGAGCGUUAAUCGGAUUUACUGGGCGUAAAGCGUGCGUAGGCGGCUUUUUAAGUCGGAUGUGAAAUCCCCGAGCUUAACUUGGGAAUUGCAUUCGAUACUGGGAAGCUAGAGUAUGGGAGAGGAUGGUAGAAUUCCAGGUGUAGCGGUGAAAUGCGUAGAGAUCUGGAGGAAUACCGAUGGCGAAGGCAGCCAUCUGGCCUAAUACUGACGCUGAGGUACGAAAGCAUGGGGAGCAAACAGG
rnacentral:rRNA from 1 species